UGACCGGAAAAGAAGCGUUACAUUGUUACCGCAGCCUAUCUUGGCUUUGAUCUACCAAUACUUGUCAAAUUCGAAGGACAGAGAACUAAAAAAAAAAAGCGUUACAGUUACGCCCGAGGAAGAAACAUCGCAAGUGGGACUACUUUCCUUGACGCAUCACAAAGUUUCAAGUUCACUGUUCUGUCGUCUAUGUUCUUCUCUGUAAAAAAAACCUCCUGUUUUUCAUUUGCUUUAAAUCAUAAUAAUUUUGCCACCGUUUCUUGUCCACUAGAAACGUCCGUGUAUGUUGCUAGCUGUUUUCUCCAAUCCCCUUCACUUUUAGUGUUCCCGGCAUGCUCACGCUGGGAGGGGGCGUCUCUAACCGGUUUGAAUGAGAAGAGUCACUUUAGGCGCCAUUUUCGAGAGUGAGCAGCGAUAUUAUCAACAGCAGCUGCGGACCGACUAAUAAAGCCCUUGAAGGUUAACUGCGACUAAAUAGAAAGCGAGAAAUAUAUAUUUAUAUGCAAAGUAUUUGCGAUUCACAGAACGUCAUUGAAAUGUAUCGGCGAAGCAGCGACCGACGCGAACUUAGAGCGGACGAAAGAAGCGGAGGAGGAAGGUUCCUGUAUUUCUGACUGCGAAUAUUUUUCAAAAAAUAUAGAAAAAUCAACGGCGAUCCGGUAAAAUUUUGGAAAAAUAACUAAAAAUUAGUUCACAUGAUCUCGAUUGAGCGAAUGUGCGAGUCAUCUUUGGCGGUCUUUGUCGAGUAACGUUAUACUGUGUUUUUGAGCGGGAGUAGAACUAACGUUACAGCUGGAUCUCCAGUCUGUCUGCUCCUCUUGUAAGUCUGACAGCGGUGCUGCAUAGAAGGGCUUACAGCUGGUCUUUCUACGCCUUUAGACCGCUUUUGAUGAGUUGUUUGCCCUUUAUUGUCGCAGCGUUAUAGUAAUGUCUACAGUUAUCGGGUACACAAGAGUACUGUGAUGUUAGUUGGGUUAUUUCGCCUAUUCUUAUAUUUGCGCCAUUUUAGCUCCGUUUAGUUGCGUCUUCUGGAAUGGGCUAGUUGUCGUUAGCCAGCUGCGGUUAGCAUUAUGUAAAGUUCCCAAGCUAACCACCUUCGUAGCCAUUGGACUCGCAGUAUUCAGAACUAGUUGGGAGGAAUAACGUCCACUGCUUUAGUGACAGCUUGCUUUUAAAUUCGUGAAAACGCUAUCUUCAGAGGAGAAGAAAGUAACAAAUUCAUCUGUGCGUCAUUUUCAUAAAAGUGAGAUCACUAGAGGGGAGAGAGAUAGCCGGGUCAACAGUAGGCGGAUGCUCUGCCAAAUCCAGAAGUGAACUUUUUUUGUGUGUGCAAGUUACUGAGCGGAACGUCAACACGGAAUUGCCUAGAUUUCAAGAAUUGGACAUCAGCUUUCGAGGGGAGAUCUCCUGAACUGGGUGACUGGGAAUUUGAAGCGAUCCUGGCUUGGCCUGAGCACUUAAAUUGAAGGCCGUUUCUUUCUGCAGGACCAUGAAGUGGAUUGGAAGUGAUCUUGUGUGUGAAUGGAUCCCUGUGAGUGUGAAGUGUGUACUGUGGCAUAAUAAAGUGCAUUUCUGUGCGUUGCGUGUGUGCGCGUGCGUGCGUGUGUAUGUCUGUGUGUGUGUGUGUGCGCGCGCGAGUGUGUGGCCUGCGGUGCUGUAGCAGCACAGAAUGGUUUGUGGGUUUUAAGGGGGUGCAGGCCGUACUGUGCUGCGGCAGUAACGUCUGGAAUAAGGUGUGUGUGAGUGUAUGUGUGUAGGAGGAUGUGUGCACAGGUGCAUCCAAGUCAAUUAGAACAUUGUGAUAAAAAAUAGAAGCAAGAUAAUAAAGAUAUACAAUUAUUUGUAGUAUUUUCACACACUUUAUCCACAAGGAAACGCUAAAUUCAUUUUUGGACUCACUAUGUUCUAAUUCACUACAGUGUGCCGUUGUGCUUGCGCGCGAGUGUUUGUGUGUUUGUGAAAGGAAAAACAACUCGGGAUCUCAAACUUGUGUGUUGGAAGUCGGGUCUGUUUGAGGCUGACUGCGGGCCAUGCAAAUCAGGUGAGUUCCUCAUCCGGCAGUAGGGAUAGAACAUUGUACCGUUUGUGUGCGUGAGAUAGAGAGAGCAGAGAGGGGGAGAGAGAGAGAGACGUCGCGCGCGUGUGUGCGCACCAUUUGAAGCUUCUCUCGGAAAUGAUUUUGCCGCGCACAAGAGAGCGCGAGUGAGUGGAGCGGGUACGGAAGCGUCUAUGCUGAUUUUUGGCGGCCCUGCUGUAGCAGCACGUAAAUAUUGGAGUUAAUCCUGUACUGAAGCCUCCAGUAUUGAUCGUGCUGCUGAAGUAAGGCAGGCCUCUCUCCUCGCACUUCUGCUCCGCCAAAAGUGCUGAAUGUCCCGCUGCGACACCACCUCCAAUAUGACACUCGCAUCCAACCUCCACGUCCCUUCAUAUGACAAUGGUACAAGACUUACGCCCUGUCUGGAUUUCGUGUAGCCUAACCUAGUAACUUUUCUAGUCCUCGCACAUGUUCACUCAUUUGGGAAUUAUGUAAUGUAGCCUGAUCUAUGUGUAAUUUGAUUGUAUUAUAGCCUAAUGCGAUUUUAUUAUAAUUUGAGAUUUUGGAUUUGGAAAUAAAAUAAAAGAUGUAACCUUUAAAAAAAAAAACGUUUCAUGUUGAUCUCUUAAUUUUGGUAGCUUCUAUUAGUGUAAAACAAGAGAGUUUCGCACACGGUCGUGCCUCGACACAUGAAGCGCUUGGCACAUCGUAAAUUUUAUCCGCUCUGAGCAAGGCUUUAUCGCCAUCUAGUGGGUAUAUUCAAAUUCUCAGUAUGAGCGCUCUUCUCCCUGGCAAUAAGAGAUAACACGGUGUUAAAUCGACCUGGUCUCUGUGUGUAAAACUGAUUCUACUUUUAGUCAAUUUCUCCUAGGUCUAUAUUAUGCUAUUUCGGGGAAUUUGAUUCCAUCACUAAAUAGGCCUAAUCAAAAUGCACACUCGCAUGGCUACAUUUGUCCAAAUGGUGUGAUAAGGCCCAUCAAUGAACUGUCUUGAUGUUAUCUGUGUAUAGUUCAUAAUAAACAUUUAAAGAUAAAUACUCGUUGGGGCUUUGACGAUUUGGGAGAAUUGCCAAAUGAUGGACAUUAGUCUGUGAGAUAAAUCUUGGAACACAUUAGGAACUAGUGACCGAGUGCGCUUGUGUAGGCCUACAAGGCAAAACAUGUCACGUGCAAAGAUGCAAUAUUAUUUACAAUGAAUGCACAUGAAUUGUUUACUGAAACUCCACCUGAUUGUCUUCAAGACAACAAGCCUCGAAUUAAAGCCUGUGUUUCUUGGAAGAUGGUUUUCUGCAUAAACAUUUGCAUAGACACUGCCUUCUUGCUUUCAAUGAAAAGUUGGGAGGUCUGAACAGAACAACCAAAAGUGGUCAGCAUAAUGUUUGCAGGUCUUUGACAGACAUAAUAAAUUAGCAUUUUGGAAGUCAAGUGAAGUAACCCCCACACAUUGACUGGCUAUAGUCUACAGCGCAUCCACAGCUGCACAACGUCCUUGCUCAAAUGUGUUUUAAAAUUGGCUUUUCUGAAUAAUACAAUCGUUCAAGUUAGCAAAGAUACCAUAAUAUGGAGACUGAUAACAAAAAAAAUGCACCACUCAAAUAUCGUCUGGCUUGCAUUAUGAGACUGCUUGGGCACUAAGGUUGUGGCAUAAGCUAUAGCAAAUACAAUGUUGUCAAGCCAAGCUUUCAGACCGAACACACUGAAACUGGUUAUUUUGAUUACUAUUACUGAGGGCAAUGCUAGAUGCGGCUCUGUGAAGUGGCAAUCUAUCCCUGACCAGAACGCUAUAAUGCAACUUCAGGACUCGCAGACAAAAUAAGCAAUAUUUGCCAUAAAAUGCAAACAAAACAAGUGCAGCAACGCUUACCAAUAAUGGUUGAUUUGCGCCGAUGAGUCGGGAGAAAACAGCGAUGCGAAGCAAAAAUAAAUGGAGUUAAAGAGAUCUCCACACAAGCACCCUGUAAUUGGACCAAAAUCCGCGCGCGCAAGAGGCUGACGCGCAGUUAAGUGCGAUCGCGGCUCUUGUUGCUGUGCAGAUUUCACUGAUCCUUUGGAAAAGUAAUUUAAAAAAUACCUAUACAUUUAAGGUUUGUAUUAUACGCACACCUACGAAACGUCUGUAAAUAGUGGAAAUACUUCACGAUCAUCGAUUUGGAACACGAAUAACGACUGGGUCCACAAACUUCACGCAAAAUAGUUCGCUUCUCUCUUCGUCACGGAAGAUGCAGAUGGUCCCUAAAGGCGGGUGACGGGAAGCGCUGUUGCCAUGUGAAAGAAGACAGUUUCCUAAAUUGACCGCCACAGCCUCGACCGAGCCAGCUAUCAAUACGCACAGCUGAGCAGCACUACUCAUAGGUAGUGUCUUAAAUGAACAUUAUAACUCAACUCCUGGAAUUCACGAUGAAAUGGCAGCAGCCAACAUCGACCCUCAAUUGCGCGCCAAAGUGUAGCCCACUCACCAAAGAGAAAGGGCAUUAUUGUCAGCAUCAGGCAGUGGAAUUGCAUGCGCUCUUGCACAACCUGAAAACAGGACUGUGCGCGCGGUGACA